CCAGACCACCAGUUAAGGUCCCCAAAUAUAUGUUAAGUGGAAAAGGAUGUGGGGUUGCUUAGACAACCAGGAUGUUGGCUUAGAAGCAGCCACCAUUGAAAGAGUGCGUAAUAGCUCACUGGUCGAGUGACCCCGCGCCGAAAAUGUACCGGGGCUAAACAUAUUACCGAAACUGUGGAUGAACCUCUUUAGAGGUUCGUGGUAGGAGAGCGUUCUAAGGGCGGUGAAGUCAGACCGGAAGGACUGGUGGAGCGCUUAGAAGUGAGAAUGCCGGUAUGAGUAGCGAAAGAAGGGUGAGAAUCCCUUCCACCGAAUAUCUAAGGUUUCCUGAGGAAGGCUCGUCCGCUCAGGGUUAGUCGGGACCUAAGCCGAGGCCGAUAGGCGUAGGCGAUGGACAACAGGUAGAGAUUCCUGUACCAGUGCUAAUUGUUUAACCGAUGGGGUGACACAGAAGGAUAGGGAAUCGCACGAAUGGAAAUGUGCGUCCAAGCAGUGAGUGUGAGAAGUAGGCAAAUCCGCUUCUCGCGAAGCAUGAGCUGUGAUGGGGAAGGAAAUUAAGUACGGAAGUUCCUGAUUUCACGCUGUCAAGAAAAGCCUCUAGGAAGAGUAGUACUGCCCGUACCGCAAACCGACACAGGUAGAUGAGGAGAGAAUCCUAAGGUGAGCGAGAGAACUCUCGUUAAGGAACUCGGCAAAAUGACCCCGUAACUUCGGGAGAAGGGGUGCUCUAUUAGGGUGCAAGCCCGAGAGAGCCGCAGUGAAUAGGCCCAGGCGACUGUUUAGCAAAAACACAGGUCUCUGCAAAACCGUAAGGUGACGUAUAGGGGCUGACGCCUGCCCGGUGCUGGAAGGUUAAGAGGAGUGCUUAGCUUCGGCGAAGGUACGAAUUGAAGCCCCAGUAAACGGCGGCCGUAACUAUAACGGUCCUAAGGUAGCGAAAUUCCUUGUCGGGUAAGUUCCGACCCGCACGAAAGGCGCAACGAUCUGGGCACUGUCUCAACGAGAGACUCGGUGAAAUUAUAGUACCUGUGAAGAUGCAGGUUACCCGCGACAGGACGGAAAGACCCCGUGGAGCUUUACUGCAACCUGAUAUGGAAUGUUUGUACCGCUUGUACAGGAUAGGUAGGAGCCGAAGAGACGUGUGCGCUAGCAUACGAGGAGGCAAUGGUGGGAUACUACCCUGGCUGUAUGACCAUUCUAACCCGCCACGCUUAGCGCGUGGGGAGACAGUGUCAGGUGGGCAGUUUGACUGGGGCGGUCGCCUCCUAAAGAGUAACGGAGGCGCCCAAAGGUUCCCUCAGAAUGGAUGGAAAUCAUUCGCAGAGUGUAAAGGCACAAGGGAGCUUGACUGCGAGACUGACAAGUCGAGCAGGGACGAAAGUCGGGCUUAGUGAUCCGGUGGUUCCGCAUGGAAGGGCCAUCGCUCAACGGAUAAAAGCUACCCCGGGGAUAACAGGCUUAUCUCCCCCAAGAGUCCACAUCGACGGGGAGGUUUGGCACCUCGAUGUCGGCUCGUCGCAUCCUGGGGCUGUAGUCGGUCCCAAGGGUUGGGCUGUUCGCCCAUUAAAGCGGCACGCGAGCUGGGUUCAGAACGUCGUGAGACAGUUCGGUCCCUAUCCGUCGCGGGCGCAGGAAAUUUGAGAGGAGCUGUCCUUAGUACGAGAGGACCGGGAUGGACACACCGCUGGUGUACCAGUUGUUCCGCCAGGAGCAUCGCUGGGUAGCUAUGUGUGGCAGGGAUAAACGCUGAAAGCAUCUAAGCGUGAAGCCCCCCUCAAGAUGAGAUUUCCCAUUUCUUCGGAAAGUAAGAUCCCUGAAAGAUGAUCAGGUAGAUAGGUUUGGAGUGGAAGUGUAGCGAUACAUGGAGCGGACAAAUACUAAUCGAUCGAGGACUUAACCAAAA
rnacentral:rRNA from 1 species